CCUGGCUUCCGGUUUGGGUGUGGUCGUGGAGUGGGCUUUGCUGCAGGUGAUUGCAGGGAGUGGACUGUUGCGACUGGGGUCUGGCAGAUGUAAACCGAACCAAAUCACUGAAGUGAUUUGUGGAUUAUGGAUUUAGAAAGAUCAGAAGAUAGAAAAAAAUCCCUGAUAUUAGAAGAGAAGGAGGUGCCAUCGCCAUUGUGGGAGGCAAUGUAAGCUUGGCACAUGGAAGAAACACAUGCAUUGGAACUGGUGUCAGAAUCCUAGUUGGCAUUAAGGACAUUGAAGGACGAGGACAAGAUGGUGGAGUAGAAGAAUGUGAGCUCACCUCUUCUUACAGAAACACCAAAAUCACAACUAACUGCUGAACAAAACAUGCUGGAACCUACCCCAAAAGAUACCCUACAUCCAAAGACAAAGAAGAAGACUCAAUGAGACGGUAGGAGGGGCUCAGUCGUGAUAAAAACAAAUCCCAUACAUGCUGGGUUGGCAGCCCACAAAUUGGAAAGAAAUUAUACCACAGAAGUUCUCCCAUAGGAGUGAAAGUUUUGAGCCCCAUGUAUGGCUCCCCAGCCUGUGGGUCAGGCAAUGGAAAGAGGAUCUCCCAGAGGGUCUGGCUUUGAAAGCCAGGGGUUUGAUCACAGGAAUUCCAAAGGCUGGGGGGAAACAGAAACUCCACUGUUGGAGGGUGCACACAGGGUCUUGUGCACACCAGGACUCAGGGGAAAAAACAAUGACCUCAUAAGAGACUGAGCCAGAAUUACCUGCUAGUAGGGGAGGGUCUCUUGUGGAGAUGUGUGGUAGCUGUGGCUCACUGUGGGAGCAAGGACACUGGCGGUGGUAGUUCUGGGGAGUACUCAUUGGCAUGAGCCCUCUUGGAGGCUGCCAUUUUCUCACCAAGACCUGGCCCCACCCAACAGCCUGUAGGCUCCAGUGCUGGGAUGCCUCAGGCCAAACAACCAGUAGGGCAGGGACACAGUCCCACCCAUCAACAGACAGGCUGCUUAAAGUCUUCCCAAGCACACUGCUGCCUGCUAAACACACCCCGUGACACAGCCCUGCCCACCAGAAGGACAAGACCCAGCU